rnacentral:snoRNA from 1 species
UGUCAUGAAUGGUUAUUAAAAUAAUUUUUCAUCUGACAAAACUAUAAUCA